UUCUCUUCCUCCAUUCAUCAUCUUCUUCUUUUUUUUUUUUGCCAUUUUUAUUUUAUUUAUCAUGCUUUCUGAAAUACUUUUAUUCUUUUGGCUUUAAGAAGUGACAUGUGUGUAUUUUUACUUACUGCUGUUCACAUGUGGCCCUGUCUUCAAUGGUAAACUUUACAGCUGAUUUUAAAACAAAAAGUAUUAUUGUGUGGUUGAUGCAACUUCAGUAACAAGUUUGAUCUCUGGAGAGCCAAAUAGGGAAGUAAGCUCUUCAAGGGUAUGUAUGCUUUCCUAAAAAGUAAUUCCCCAUAUUAAGCCCUGGAAAUUGACUACUAUGUUAUAUGCCUCCAGGGGGCAUUCUUCAUACUGGGCUUUCUAUCAACAGCAUCCCUUAGAGUUGAACCCAGGCGUCUUUGCACAUUAGACACCAAAGGUGUCCCUUCCAGAUGUGCAGGCUACUUAAUGGCUCCCUCUGUGCUUAGGGAAGGAAGUGAUCUGUGUGAAGGGGUUUUUAGGAUUAGCGUUUCGAUUAACAUUAAAAUUUCAAUGGGACUCUAUAAUUAAUUUACAGUGUUCUACAUACAGUGGAAAAAUAUGAGUGGCCUUUCAUGGGUAACAUCCAACUAAGUACAUAUAUCAAAAUUAAUUCUAAGGUUGACAGAUUGAAUUAAAUACUUAACACUGUAGUUAAUAAAGGGAACCUAAUUUUAAGUGAAAUUUAAUUAGAUUGUUCAUUUGAAAUUGUUCUGAGAAUUUAGCACCCUUUCUUGCACUCUCAUUAUCCUUACUUCCUACUUAAAGUAGUUUUGAGCUACAUAAAAUGAUUUAAUCCUCAGGGUGAUCCACUGUGUACAUGUGUACUGUGUAUCAGUGUAAAGUUAUCCUUUUCUGAUUCUAGAAAUAUAGUUGACCCUUAACCAGCACAGGUCUGAACUGCAUGGGGCCAUUUCAAUGUAGUUCUAUGUUUUUUAUGUGGAUUUUUUCAGUAAAUGUAUUGGACAGUUUUUUGGACAUUUGUGACAAUUUGAAAAAACAUUUUCUUUCCUCUAACUUUAUUAUAAGAAUACAGUAUAUAGUACACAUAAUGUACAAAGUAUGUGUUAAUCAACUGUUUAUGUUACUGGUAAGGUUUCUCAUCAACAGUAAGCUAUUAGUUUUGGGAGAGUCAAAAGUUACACCGAUUUUUGACCAUGUGAGGGGUUGGCACCUCUAAUGCCCAUGUUGUUCGAAGGUCACUUGUGUUUUCAUAUUUAAGAGCCCUUUUGACCAUGUGAAUUUGAAAGAUACUUUGUUAUGCUAUUUGCUGUUACAAUCUCUCAAACACAUCAGUGGUGACAUUUCAGUAAGUAGUCAUAAGCAUGUUUGUGGGGUUUUCUUUUUUUGUUGGUUGGUGAUUUUAGUCAUAUUUAGGUACAUUUAUCUUCCCCAGUGGGAAAAUUAAUCCUGCUGAAAAAUUUGGCAAAUGCAAUUUUUAUGGAAAAAGUGAUAGUGUUCAUUUUCACUCCAGUCUCCUGGUGCAUUCAUUGUUCUUUUUUAGGAGGAAGAUGAAGAUGAAGAUUUUGAAGAGGAGAGUGAUGAUGAUGGUGCUGCAGCUCUACUUGCAGAACUGGAAAAAAUUAAAAAAGAAAGAGCUAAAGAGCAGGCCAGGAAGAAUUCUCAAAGAUGUAGUGUGACACACAUCAAGAAAAGUUAAAAUCGGCUUAUACUACAACAUCAAACAACUAAAACGAAUUUGACUGGAUGGCACAGAUCUUACCUUCCACAAGGAACACACCCUGGACUCGGAACACCCUUCGCCCUGGAACUACAAUGCGUCAAGCAUUUCACCAGAAAAUUUGAAUCUCCAAAGACCACCAAAUGGACAUUCCAAAACAGAAAAGCUGUUAACAUCUGAAACUAAGAACUCAAUGGGUAGGGUAAUUAGGAGGUUGAAACAAAAAAAGGUAGUAUUGGUGAACUCCAAGACCAGUCAGUAUAAAAAUACAUGAACAGAAGCACACAAGACAACAGAAGAUAGAAAAAUUAAAACAGAUAAAUGGAUGAAUAAAAUAUGAUCCAUACCCAACAGGGCAAAUUUAUGUGGAAUGGGAAUUGUAGGAAAAGGGCAGAGAAAGAAUGGAACCACAAAAAGCUCAACCAAAACAAACAAAAUGAAACUUGGACAACAUAGGCCAACAUCAACAGAAACAAAACCAUACCAAAAGAUAUCAUUGUCAAAAUACUGGGAACAAAAGUGAAGAGAAAACAGUAAUAGUAGCCAGAGAAAGAGAAAGAGAACAGUAAUAAAUCAAGCAGUUAGCUUUUUAACAGAAAUAAUAGAAGGCAGAAUUUAAUGGUAUUUCACUUUGAAAAUGACAAGCAAAAAUAACUGCCAAAAUAAUAUUGUAUGUGCAGCAUAUAUACAGUUAUAUGCAUAUAGUAUACAUAUACGAAGAUGAAGGUAGAAUAAAAGUAUUUAAGAAAAAUAAAUCUUCUGCAGGUCAUCAAUAGCAGCAGGCCUGAUAGUAAUGGAGGGAGUAAGAAAUGACCAUUCUGAUAUCUAUUGUACUGUACAUAUGCCUAUCAGAUUUACUGACGUAGUGGAUACAGUGUGUAAGAGAAAGACUUUAAGAUGACGCAUGGGUUUUUUUUGUUCAUUUGUUUUGGUUUUUUAUCUUGACAUAAUUUCUAUGUAUAAAAGGACUAAAAAAGUAGUAUAAAAAAUUACUGUAUAUCAUAAUUGCUAUAUCCUUCUCUCUUUCUCCCCACCUCUCUCCCUCUCAGUAAUUAUCUUUGUGGUCAAGAAAUUUAGAAGGUUAUUUCUCAACACUGUAAAAAAGCAGCUUGAAGUUUUGUUCCUUUAGAAAGUAGUGUUGUUAAAAGGCUGACCAUUUUUCACCUUGAACUAUUUUAAAUAAAUUUUUGAAUGCAA